CAGGAAUCCAGGAGUGUUCCCAUGUGAGAGGAGUACUUGCCAAAUAUUGUGAAUAAGUUCUGGGUCAGAGGAGGAGCAGAUUUCCAUUCUCAGGGGUGGCACUUCAGGGCUGAGCUCUGAGAUGGGUGGAUGAAAGCAGAGCAGCAUCCUUUAGACCUCACCAGAGCCCAGCACAGUGUCACAGAUCCAACUCUGCAUGUGCACCAAGAGUUUUCAGGUGGAUGUCCAAAUUCAUCGAAUGAUAGAACCAUAGAAUGGCUUGUGCUAGAAGGGACCUUAAGGAUCAUCUCAUCCCACCCCCUGCCAUGGGCAGGGACACCUCCCACUAGCCCAGCUUGCUCUAAGCCCUGUCCCACCUGGCCUUGGACACUUCCAGAGAUGGAUGUGCAGCCUGUGCCAGGGCCUCAC